UUAUAAGAGACAGCAGCCGCCGCGGGAAAACGGAGGGUGCAAGCGUUAAUCGGAAUUACUGGGCGUAAAGCGCACGCAGGCGGUUUGUUAAGUCAGAUGUGAAAUCCCCGAGCUUAACUUGGGAACUGCAUUUGAAACUGGCAAGCUAGAGUCUUGUAGAGGGGGGUAGAAUUCCAGGUGUAGCGGUGAAAUGCGUAGAGAUCUGGAGGAAUACCGGUGGCGAAGGCGGCCCCCUGGACAAAGACUGACGCUCAGGUGCGAAAGCGUGGGGAGCAAACAGGAUUAGAUACCCGGGUAGUCCCUGUCUCUUAUAC
rnacentral:rRNA from 1 species